AGCCCCGUGGUGGAGUACACAUUGGAUUGCAAAUCCAAAGACGCAGAUUGAACCCUGCCGGGGCUU
rnacentral:tRNA from 1 species